ACCACAAGAGAGCUAGAACCAAUAAGCAGAGUCAUAAUAGGUAAAACAGUGAGCGAUACCCAACAACACAGACACUUACCAACCUCUCUCUCUCUCUUCACUUUAACAUCAUCUGUCGUGUUUAAAAUAACCAGUUAGUGAGUCGGGUUCACACAGUAGCAUUAGAAACGGUCUGGGUCAAACUUAAUGACAUAUGCAUUAUAUUGUUAUUUUUAGAUAAUAAGUCUAUCUUCUGUUUGUUUUGUUUUUUUUAAUGGAAACAUUUUAACUUUUUAUCCAGUCUCCCCACGUUAUUUAAUCCAAAAUCGACGGGACACUUUACCAUAUCAAUACCGCCUCGUUUUUUUUUUUUGUUCUUAUGUUCUUUUACCUUUACCAGUUUCUUCUAUGUUUGUGUCUCACACAGACACACUAAUAAACAUAUAUUGCAAUACAUGUACUCUACUGUAAGUUUGAUAAUAAGUUUUUUUUUCUUCCUCUCUAUAAAAACUUCAUCUUUGAGUUUAUCUAUACGUGGUUCUCUCACACACUUUUGAUGACUACAGGGUUUUUCUCUUAUUGUGUUAUUAUUUUGUAGCUAGCUUAAUGUACUAAACUGAUAGCUUGUACAAAAGGAAUCUGACUUCUGUAUAGGUUCACAAUUAAAUACACACUAAAUGUAAAAACAGUUAAGCUGAAGAAAACAGUGGCGUGCACAAAAAAAGGCUUCGCUUCUUCACUCGAUUUGAGUUUUUAGGUUUAAGUUUCACCCGAAAGUCAAAUUAAAGAAUCAAACCAGUGUGAUUGCAUGUCUGUUAUUUCACUACAGACACAUUAUUCCAUUAUGACCAUUUUUUAAAAUAAAUGCUGUACAGUUUUACAGAUACUUUGAUCAAUUCUACCCAAGUUUUCGAGGCAACCACUGCCAAUGAAAGCAAUGUAGCAGACUUACUUGACUUGAUUGAUUGAAAAAACAGUCUAAACUCUGCAACAGCUGUAGAUUAAUAUCUCAAAACGCUAACACCAGAGAAGCACCUACCCAUCAAGAAGUGGCCUAGCUCCAUAAUAAACAAUAAAUCAAACAUGUUUUUUCUUCGUCUGCAGUUACAGUAUGAUGGAUCUCCAGCGAGCCAGUUCAUUUUCACAUCAAAUAAACAUUUAAAACGGAGAUAUCUGGAUAUCUGUCUAAUUUGGUGGAUUACAAUCAAAAUUUCUGACAUGUUAUUUUUUUAGCUGUAAUGUGAAGCAUGUGAGAUUUGUAGAGCCACUGGUUUGCUAAACGGAGGAUAAAAAGGGGGUGGAGUGAUUUUUUUAAGCUAAUAAUAGGGAGACUUAGGCUAUAAAGGCAAUGGGAGGGAUCAGAAGGGCAAUCAGGCGAAUUAGGGUGUCAUUGAGGGGUACUUGGGCCAAAAAUAGAAGUGACUUAAGCAGCUUAAGCGACCUUUUGUUGUGAUAUUAAGGCAAAAAAAUCAUGUCCCAUUAAGAAAAUAAAAGGCAACUUGUGCUCUUAAUUUGAAGAAAAGUCACUUCCUGUGCACACCACUGCAAAAACUAGACUGUCAACUCUCGUAAAUACUCAUUUCUGUAGACUUUAUGUACAUAGCAGCAGUAUAGCUUCCUGUAAAGUGAUUUCUUUAUGAUUAGGACAAGGCCAGUUCUUUCUUACACUUCACAAACACACAGCGGCUGCCACUAUGAUAAAAAAAAAGCUUUGAUACAGAAUAUUAAUAGUCAUAUAAAAAAAUAAAAAAGGUCAGAUUUUUUUUUUUUAAUUUUCAGACUAGAAACUGUAAAUUUCACUCUAAUUAUGUCAGUAAUUUUAGGUUCAAUGGAAACACAUUCUCAUUAUAUUUCCAGUCUCUCUUUUCCUUUCUUAAUCUCACUCUAUUUCUAUUUCUUUUUUUUUUUUUUUGAGGUAAUUGUCUUUUGUGUGGUGACCACUUUUUGAGUAUAUAGAGCUUUGUACACAUAUACGUUACGUAUUUAAAAAAAAAAAAAAAAAGACAGAACUAAUGUUGAAGAUAGUGUUUUUAGUGUUUAUGUGUUCUGGUACUUUUGUCCUUAUCUACGCCUGUAGAUGCAGAUGGAUCAGAUCCUUCGCAGUGCUGUUUCCUCUCGUGCUGUUUCUGCGUUUGUGGCAUUUUUUUUGAAUUUUUUUAGUUCCCUUUUUUUUGGUUCCCUUUUUUUUUUCUUUUCCUUGCAGAGUUUUAUCCUUUUAAAAAAAUAUAUAUCUAUUGAAUCUGUUGGCUGGCCAGUACUUGUUUUCUGUUUUAUGUUCUUCCCUUUAAAGAAGAUAAAAAAACAAAAAACACACAUAUAAAAAAAAAAAAAAAUUAACAUGAAAAAAAAAUUUAAAAAACGUUUUGGAUGAAAAGAUGUUUAUCAGUUUUUCUAAGUUUCACUUUUCAGAUAUGUAGCAUUUUUUUUGAACAUUGUAAAAGGAGGUGAAGUUGCCAUAGAAUUAAUCACAUUGUUUUCCAGUUGCAUAUAUAUAAAGCAAUGGUGCUUCAUAGACCAUGUAUGUCAUUUUAAGACCUUUUAUUACAUCUCUUGGAUCCACUAACACUGUAUUUCUGUAUUUUUGAUGUUAUCUGCUUUAUGUGAUGCUGACAUUUUCUUUAAAGUUCAUCUUUAAUCCGUAUAAUGUGCCUUAUCAUGACUCUAUGGGUGUCUUUAACACGUGAGAAGUUCUACCCUUCAAGUGCAGCACAGUUUGUUCCCUGCAACCUCGUAGAUGACUUCCUUCAACUGCCCGAGACUUUUACUGAAUUACAAUCCCAACGUGGCGUUUAGCAGCUUUAACCUUCCUGUCGUCCUCCAGGGUCACAUUGACCCCGUCUGUUUCGACUGUUCUUUCUUUCCUUCCUUCCGUUUGUCCUUCCUCGCUCUUUCUGUCUUUCCUCCCUUCCUUCUUUCCUUCCUCCAAACCCCCUUUCUUCCUUCCUUCUGUCCUUCCUUCCCUCCCUCUUUUCCUUCCUUCUCCCUCCCUUCCUUCUUUCCAUCCUCCAAACCCCUUCCUUCUUUCCUUCCCUCCUUCCUUUGUUCCUUCUUUCCUCCCUCCCUCCUUGUCUCUUUCUGUCCUCCCCAUUACCUUCCUUCUUUCCUCUGUCUUUCUUUCCUCCCUUCCUUCCUCCCUCCCUCCCUCUUUUCCUUCCUUCUUCCUCCCUCCAACCCCCUUUCUUCCUUCCCUCCUUCCCUUCUUUCUUCCUCCCUUCCUUCCUUGAUUCAAGGACAACAGAAGAGUUAAUGAUGUUGCUAGGUAACAGGUAGCUAGCUAGCAGAGCCAUAAAGUAAUGUGAAAUCAUAAAAGCAGUAAUUAUAGUUUAUUUUAGUUUUUUUUUAAUCCAAUUAUCCCAAAAAAAAAAAAACAACGUAGAUACGAUGUCACAGUUGGGAUGAUAUUUAUAAUAAGUCUUCCUCCUUCAUAGCCUCCUCUGAUAGAUCCAAAUAGUACAGUUUAGGGAAGGAAUACGCAGUAAAACUAGAUUCCCGUUAGAUUCCCCUGGUGACGACGAGUCAAAUCGGGAGUAUUUUAAAAAGGCUUUUAAAAAGGAAACGGAUUCCCUCAGCUCAUCCAACAAACCUGAUGAAGCUGCCUGGGUUUGUGGGUUCUACUGGACUCUGCAGGUGAAAUUAAAUUUGCCUGUUUUUUUUAAUUAUUUUUUUUUAGCAACACUGGAUGAAAAAAAAAACAGCUCCAAAGAUUCAAUUUAAACAAAGAGCAAAGAGCAGAUGACUUUAACUGUUUGAUUUGACUAUUGUUAACUAACGCUGAAGCCCAGAGUGAAAAUCAGGCCCGAUCUCCAUCAUCAUCUUUUUUUUUCCUUUUCUUUUUUUUUAAGAGUUAGACGAUUAUUUAGAUGCUUGGAAAGGUUUUAAACAAGUCAUUAAAUUGUCUGAAUAUUUCAUUUUUGAAGUGAAGCAGACUUAAAGCUUCCUUGUGCUUAAUAGGAUUGGAGAUGAUGAUGAGGAGGAGGAGGUGGGAGGGGGAGGGGGGUGAGAUCGGAGGAAGAACAGCCCGAUUUGUUGAGUUGAGUGACAUGUGAAGAGAGAUACAUCCUGCUCAGCCUGCCCACUGACGCAUAUCUCUCCACUCCUCCGCAGAUCUGUUCCUCCUCUCUCUCACUCCUCCUCCUCUUCCUCCUCUUCCUCUUUCACUCUUGACAAUUGACAAAAAAAGAAAAACCCACCCCAUCUAUCGUUCUUCUCUUCUGUCCUGAUGAAGCUCGAGCUGAAAGUUCCUAAUAAUGUAAAAUGUAAAAGUAGUUAAGUGUAGUGAAAGAAAAAUAAAAUAAACCCAAAAAACUAAAAUAUUAUUACCAAAUUUGUUUACAUUGGGUUUCCAGAAAAGCACUUUACAGAUUGUAAAUUAUUUUUCCUGAUAUAUUUAUUAUGUAAAAUAGAAGUAAAUCCCUGACAAAGGCCAGAAUUACACUUAUUAUUAUUAUUAUUAUCAUCACAGACCAAAAAUAUAAAAAAAGAGCAGAAGCUUUUUUUUUUUUUUUUUUAAAUGUAUUUUAAUAAAUGUCCUGAAACAGAAAGAAGACGAGAAAAGCAUCUCAGAUUAUGAGAUUUGAGCUAUUAUUAUAAAAUUGUGUUUAUGUACGUGGAAAGAGUUGGCUGGAUGGAAGUCGGAUUUUUUAAGAAAAUUAAAAAAAAAAAAAAUCUAGGAGGAGGAGAAGAAGUCCCGCCUUUUUUUUUUUUUUUUUUUUUAAGCUAGCAAAUGUUCAAAUGUUCAACUAUAGCUUCAGCUGGACAUAAACAGUUGUCAUAUGUUCAGAAAGACAGAAUGAAGAUAUAAAUGUCUGAAAAAAAUCUACAUGAAGCUAGCGGAGCAGAUGCUAAUGGAGCAGAUGCUAACGGAGCAGAUGCUAACUUGCUAAAAAAAAUGGCGGGAAUUCAGCUCUCAGCUCUCCUUUUUUUCUUUUUCUUUUUUUUUCUUAAAUCAACAGAAGGCUUAUCACCAGUCGUAGAGCUUAACAUACUGUGCUGCUUGAAGGGUUUCAUCCCAAAAAAAUGAAACAUUUGAAAAAAUAAAUAAAAUAAUAAAAAAAUGCUUCAGGAGUUAAUCCACUCAUUCAUUGCACUUCCUCUUUUAAAGACAGUAUCAGCAUUUUUUUGUCUCGUGUCUCAACAGGGUUUAUGUUUUAUUUCCUUUAUGGGAUCCAUGUUCAGCUACUUGUACUCUUGUUUUUUUUGUCGGAUGUCAUAACGUACAGUUAUUAUUUGCUGAUUCCGCAUUUUAUAUGCUAAAAAAAAAAAAAUUCAUAUUGAUCUUAUUAUUAUCAUAUUGUUAUCAUUGUUAUUACUAUAUGGGGAAUUUAACCCAAUAAGAAGUUUGUGUUUCUGCACUGAUAUCUUACUAUUAAAGCAUACUGAUCUUACCCUCCCUCA